rnacentral:rRNA from 1 species
CACGUAGGGUGCGAGCGUUGUCCGGAAUUAUUGGGCGUAAAGAGCUCGUAGGCGGUGUGUCGCGUCGGCCGUGAAAACUUGGGGCUUAACUCUGAGCGUGCGGUCGAUACGGGCAUCACUUGAGUUCGGCAGGGGAGACUGGAAUUCCUGGUGUAGCGGUGAAAUGCGCAGAUAUCAGGAGGAACACCGGUGGCGAAGGCGGGUCUCUGGAACGCAACUGACGCUGAGACGCGAAAGCGUGGGGAGCAAACAGG